GCCAGGUUAGCCAGAUUGGUCUCAAACUCCUGACCUCAGGUGAUUGCCUGUCUCAGCCUCCCAAAGUGCUGGGAUUACAGGCAUGAGCCACCAUGCCCAGCCAGCUGUAGGGCUUUUUUUUAAGGGUGAUAUAGGUAUUGGGGUCCCACAUAGGUAUCAGGGUCCCACAGCAGACCUCUGGGCCGGGAGCUCUGGGAGCGGGCCCUUAACUGGUCACCCACCCAACUCAACAGCUGAUUUCUGAGGUGCUCUCCUAGCUAAAAGCUGCUAUUUGAAGUAUCCAAAGAAAUAGCCCAGUCAGGGAUGUUAAUAACUUAACUUUAAAAAUGUAUUUCUAUUUUAAAACUUAAUUUGGAACAUAUUUUAAUCAUCCUAGGCUGAUAAAUAGAUUUUGCAAUUUCUCAUGCCAAUAAAAAAGAAUGCUUCAACUUUACAAGAAGUAUUCAGGUUUUGAUAAUCAUUUUUAAAAAAAAAAACCCAAACUCAGAAUGUCUAAGUGUGUGACAGGAAUAUUUAAUAUUUUAUAUUCUCAAGUCAUCACCCCAAGUAUGCCAUCUAAUCCAUAUCUGUAGGGAAAUCUAUUUUUAAAGUAAGUGAUACCUUGGAGGAAAAAUAGAUACAUCAUGAUUACAGUUUUCAUCACACCAUAAUCUUUUAUUUUAGAAUUAAGGAGAAGUAUCCUCAAACAUUUGAUGACAUAUGCCUUUACUCUGAGGUUUCCCAUUUGCUGUCACACUGCACAUUCAGACUUCCGUGUCGGAGGUUCAUACAAGAAUUAUUUCAAGAUGUACAGUUUCUACAAAUGCAUGAAGAAGCAGAGGCUGUGUUGGCAACACCACCAAAGCAACCUAUAGUUGAUACAUCUGCUGAAUCCUGACCUCAUAUUUAUGAUGGAUAUAGAUACAUACUAUAUAUAUUCAUAUUUGUGGAUUUCCUAAAAGCCUCAGAAAAUACGACUGACUAGGCAGCAAAGACAGGAGUAUCUUCUGCACACUGUUCCGCAGUUACUGGUACAUGAACAGUUGGAACUGCUGACUUUCCUAACCAAAACAACUUCCUUCUCUCCUUUGUUGAGCCUUUUGAGGGGUUCAUGAUUCAUUACCACAGUUUUAAGAGUUUUAGUUACCAUUGUAUGCAAGAGCCAAGCACUGAAUACCUACAUAGGUUUUCUAUUUUCUUUCAUUUUAAAAGCAUAAUGACAGUGGAACAAUAAUGGGAUAUGCAGAAGCACCCUUCACAAGUUAUUUCUGAAUGAUUUUUAGGGUAAAUUUACAGAUGCCUUGUUUGUUAACUAAUUUGUGGAAAGCAGGAAUCAGUGUCUCUAAGGCUGCAUCCUGUUACCACAAUGGGGUGUGCUAUAACUGCUGGUAUUAGAGAGGGAACUUUGGCCCUUUCAUGUUUUUCUUAAUGUUUGUAACACUACUUCAGAGGUUUAUAACCUCAAAGCAGAAGAAGAGCCUCAACAACCCGGGACUUAUAAGUUAUUUUUAUGUUACUAGACUUGCAUAAAGAUUCUUGUUUUCCAACUCUUCAUUUUGUUGCAAUGUGUUAUUACAGGAUAUAUGAACCAAUUAAGGUUUUUCACUACAGUUCUUGAAUAAAAUUUAAAAAUCAUUUUUUAUUUUAAUUAAAAAUAUUUCCCAUUUAUAGAAUGCAUAUAUUUGCAAUGGACUUCCACUUUCAUCAACUUUCCAUCUCAUCGCUUUAAACAGGAACUUGAACAAGCACUGUUAGUUUAGACCUAAAGGAUAGGAAAGCAUUAAAUAAUACUUUGGAUCUCCUGAGGAAAAGAUAAGUUUGCUUGCAAUUUACACAUUCCAUGGGGAAAGAAGAGCCAUAUUUCCUUUAAAAAAAAACAUUAAUAAAGCUUGUUAUUAAGAAAAAUUGUAGUGAAAAGCCUUAAGUACCAAAUUUUAAAGCAGCAGUAACUUAAUUUUUAUAUCAGUGUUUUUGUUUUGCACAAACUAAAUGCAGUGGUAGGUGGGUUUAUGAGUAUAUUAAUUGCCUUUAUCCAUUUGUGAAGUUAAGUUGAUGAGGGCAAGGUUUUUGUUUGUUUAAUUUGUAUGUGUCUAAAGGUAUUUGGAACUUUUUACAGGAAUUAAACAUAUAUGCAAAUUUGUAUAUAAAAAUAGCAUGGCCAUCAUUUGAAUGCUUGUAAAUGAAAGGAUUAUCUUUUUUGAGAUCUACAUAUAAAUAGAAAUAGAAAAUCCAGCUGGACUGAUUAGGAUUCUUUUUUAAUUCAUUUGUGUAUAACAUUUUUAUUACAAUUACACAUCAGUUUUGACACAGUCAUAGCAACAUUAAUAUUUUCCCAUGAUGCAGAUCCUUUUUGUAAUGGGCUUGUUCUUUGAGAUCUCUGUAAAGAACCCUGUGAACUAGAAAACAUAACUCACAGAGAUACUUUUUUAAAAAAUUUAUUUACUGGCACUGAAAGUUCCAGUUGGGAUGAAGCAUUUCAUCUCACUUCAUAACACCUCUUUGACUGCACUUCAGUGAAUUGUUCUUAUGUGCACUGUGUAGCAACUUACAUUAUAACAAAGCAGAUAAGGGCUGUAAGCUGCUGCUUAUGUUGAAAAGUGGUUCUUCAGAUUUUCUCUCAUAAAAUCCAAUUGAAGAUAAAUAAUUUUUUUAUACUUUAUCACUGAACCCAAGUGUUUAUUUAAAUGUCAACAGUACUUCUAAGAACGUUGCCUGUCAUCGUGGUCUUUGGUCUUGGAUAACUAAACUGCCUUUCCAGAGAACCAAAUGUCAGAGUUACUAGACCAAAUAGUGGUUAAAACCUCCAAAGGAAGUAAUGUAGUAAUCUUAUUCAUAAUGGGUUUUAGACAUUCAUUUUAAACACUACCUCAGUUAAUAUAGAGUAUAAAAUCUGUGGUUUAAUCCCUCAAAAGUUAACAGUAAUUUUUUUUUGUCUUACACACACACACACACACACACACACCUCCUCCCCCACCAUCACUAUCCCUGUACCCUCACCUUGGUCAUCUAUCCUGAAAUAAGGCUUAGUUAGUGUUGGCCUGAAUGUUUCGUGUUUUUUUUUUUUUUACUGUUACUUUGAAAAAUAUGUAUGUAUACCUUAUCAUAUCUGCCUAUAUCACUUACUUUGGGGAGAUACUCAGAGCUUUGUGGUUAUCAGUAUACUAAAAAAAAAAAAAAAAAAAAGUCUACGCUUAAAUUUAUAGUGCUAUUUGGUUUCUCCAUGAUUUCACUGACAGGUCUAAUACAUUUUCUUUGAGUACUUGUUUGUAAAAAGUAGACUUUAUGGUGAAAAAUACAUGCAGUGCCAAGUGAUUAACUUAGGUGUUUAAAAAUAUUAAAUUAUAGCAGAAGAGGUUAGGAAUGAUAUCAGCAGUAAUAGAAAUAAUUGAGAAAAUCAUCUAUAAAUAAUAGAUAUUACAGACUAUAGAAUACCAAAAUAAUGUCAAUACUGUAGUUUUUAAAGAUUUUAGGAUUAAUCUUAGUCCAUAUAAAUUUGUACUAUUGGUAAUUAUUGAAUAAUUGGGAGGAAUCUGGGCAGUUGUGCUGGUUGUAAACUGUGAAUUUCUAAUCGUAAAGUGAAUUGUUAUUUCUAAUUGAACUUUUUUUCAAGAACAGAUUUCAGCCUCACAUACUAAGUAAAUACUGAUAAAUAAGGAAAUUAGAAAUUUAGUAUUCAUAAUUAAAUAUGCUCUAAAAUUUCUUAUACUUUUAUUUCCUGUUUAUUCUUAGGUAGAUUGGAAGGGGGAAACAGUCUGUUCUCCCUAAUUAAAUUUUUUCUAAUAACGAUUAGUAGAAUAAGGACAUUCUAUAUGACAGUGACAUUAAAAGAGGCUCUUUGGAAGUAUAUACAUUAUUAUAACAUAAUGUGUACAAGUCCUUUUGAAAUGACAACUUUAAUGGGUUUCAGCUCUUUUAUCUAGAGCUCGAGAUAAUUCAAGCUGAGUUUUUCAGGGCAUAUCACAACGGCAAAGUGUUCAGCAGUGGGAUAUCAAUGCUUAUUUACAUUUUCCUACUGCUAUUUAUAUAAAAUGUUAUUUCAUUCCAUUCAGAGGAUGCCUUUUAUCCCCACAUUAAAGCACAGAUCAUUAAGCAAUAAAAACCAAAUUGUCUGUCAUUCAAAUUAUAACUGCAGUUAUUUUUGCAUGGUAAGAGUGAGGUGCUAAUUUUGUGUGAGAUGAACUUUGUAAACUACUUUGGGAAAUGUUCUUUGGAAGUAAGGUUUUUUCCCCUUUAGUCUUAUGCUUCCACUUUUGUCUCGGAUUCACAAUCCAUUAAAACAUGGGGAAAAAAGAAAAGGUAAAAUUGAGAGACUUUUGUUAGAGGAGCUAUUUGGAAUGAACCAACAUUUCAGAUUUUCCAAAAUGUAAGUUAGGAAGUCUUCAUUGUCUCUGCAUUAACAAAAUACACUGUUACUAUCUUAAUCUCAAGAGUGUCAUUACAGUGAGAAUCUCAUUUAAAAGCAUACCAGUGAAAUUAAUAGCAGUGCUUAUCAAAGAACACUGAAAUCUGUGAGAAUCUUUCUAGGAGCAUUCUUUUCUUCUUUUAGUUCCAAGUUCCAGGGUAUUUUUCAUUCCUAGUAGGUUUAUAUGACUCACAGAAUGUGGACUUUUUUCCUGUUUGGAGUAUUUUUGUAAUGUAAGUAUCGGAUAGCUACACCACAGCAUGCAUAAAUUGCACAUUUUGUUUUACUUUCUUUAUAGAAUAUUUAAUUUCAAAAAUAUAAUUUAUGCCAAAAAAAGCAUACCUUUCAAUUUUGCUACUUGGUUGAUUUCGCACAAAAUGCAAAGUCUUGGGGCAGAGAGGGGGAGUGAAAAAAAUUUUAUAGGUAAUUGUUACAAAAAUGCCUGUCAGAAACCCUAAAGCUGCAUUGUAAAACAAAUGGUGUAAAUUAGUUUUGAAAAGUGGUAAGGAAUUGUGAAAAAAAUCUCAGACUUAAUGCUCUCUAACCACAUGAGUUUCUUCUUUUUUAUUUAGUAAUACGCUGCUACAUAUUUGGAGGUUCUGGUGUUUGUAGGUCACUGAACAGACAUUGAAAUCUGAUUUAUAUUGUAUAACUGUAACAUAGAAAGAAAAAGUAUUUAUAUUUUUUCUGUAAGAAUAUUUCAUUGAGUUGUGUAUAAUUUAAAUAAGAUUUGUCCCCAAAUGGUUUUGCUCACCUUGAUUUUUUUUGUUGUGAUUUUCUUGUUUUUGUAUAAUGUGUAUAGUUUAUGUCAAGGGCAUUAAAAGCCUCCUGAAGCAUAAUCUUAUCAAAGGGA
rnacentral:lncRNA from 1 species